rnacentral:rRNA from 1 species
UACAGAGGGGGCAAGCGUUGUUCGGAAUUACUGGGCGUAAAGGGCGCGUAGGCGGCCAACUCAGUCGGACGUGAAAUCCCCUGGCUCAACCAGGGAACUGCGUCCGAUACUGGCUGGCUUGAAUCCGGGAGAGGGAUGUGGAAUUCCAGGUGUAGCGGUGAAAUGCGUAGAUAUCGGGAGGAACACCUGUGGCGAAGGCGGCCCCCUGGUUGGAUACUGACGCUGAUACGCGAAAGCGUGGGGAGCAAACAGG